rnacentral:rRNA from 1 species
UACGUAGGGGGCAAGCGUUGUCCGGAAUCAUUGGGCGUAAAGCGCGUGUAGGCGGCUCAGUAAGUCCGCUCUGAAAGCCCGGGGCUUAACCCCUGGAGGCGGGUGGAUACUGCUGAGCUUGAGUCCGGAAGAGGCGAGUGGAAUUCCCGGUGUAGCGGUGAAAUGCGCAGAUAUCGGGAGGAACACCAAUGGCGAAGGCAGCUCGCUGGGACGUGACUGACGCUGAGACGCGAAAGCGUGGGGAGCAAACAGG